AUACGUAGGGUGCAAGCGUUGAUCGGAAUUACUGGGCGUAAAGCGUGCGCAGGCGGUUUUGUAAGACAGUGGUGAAAUCCCCGGGCUCAACCUGGGAACUGCCCUUGUGACUGCAAGGCUGGAGUGCGGCCGAGGGGGAGGGAAUUCCGCGGGUAGCAGGGCAAUGCGUAGAUAUGCGGAGGAACACCGAUGGCGAAGGCAAUCCCCUGGGCCUGCACUGACGCUCAUGCACGAAAGCGUGGGGAGCAAACAGGAUUAGAUACCCUGGUAGUCCACGCCCUAAACGAUGUCAACUGGUUGUUGGGGAUUUAUUUUCUCAGUAACGAAGCUAACGCGUGAAGUUGACCGCCUGGGGAGUACGGCCGCAAGGUUAAAACUCAAAUGAAUUGACGGGG
rnacentral:rRNA from 1 species